rnacentral:tRNA from 1 species
UCUCAGUUGGCUAGAGCACCUGACUUUUAAUCAGGGAGUCGCAGGUUCGAGUCCUGC